CGCGUAGGCGGACUUUUAAGUCGGGGUGAAAGCCCAGGGCUCAACCCUGGAAUUGCCUUCGAUACUGGGAGUCUUGAGUUCGGAAGAGGUUGGUGGAACUGCGAGUGUAGAGGUGAAAUUCGUAGAUAUUCGCAAGAACACCGGCGGCGAAGGCGGCCAACUGGUCCGAUACUGACGCUGAGGCGCGAAAGCGUGGGGAGCAAACA
rnacentral:rRNA from 1 species